rnacentral:lncRNA from 1 species
CGCUGCGCCGCGCCCCUCCCUCCCUGGAGCCGGGUCCAGCCCGCUGUCCCUCGCAGGACCACGCUGGAGGGCGGUCCUCCCCAACCCCCGGUUUGGGUCCCUGAGCCCCCAGUCCUAGCUCCCCUCUUUUGUAUCACCUCUACUUCCCCCUCCCCCAUUCAACCCAACUUCAGCCCUGGCGCUGAGCCCCCCUUCCCUGGCCCGGCUGGAUUGGCCGUUUCCUGAGCUGUCAGACUCAAGUCCGGCGCUCUCAUUGGGCGAUUCACUGGCCGGGCGACCAUGCCAAAAGAGGGCGCGCCGGGCGGGGGGCGCCCGGGCAGCGACUUCGGGAGGGAACCCGAGGCAGAGUCCCUGGAGAGCCCCGAGGGGCCCCAGAGCCAGACCCAGAAAUGGACUGGGAGAUGCAGAGACUGAGGACCUCUGAGGCAAAGGAAGACCGCGAAGGGAAAGAUGGAGAUGCAGUGGCUCUCUCCUCAGACCUUCUAACAGGAGCUCCGAGGCCUGAGAGAGAUGCCUCCUCCCCCGACCCCCUCUGCUGGUCAUCUCUUUGCAGACUGGAAGAUGAAUCUUGCCAGAGCUACAGAUUGGGAGGAGAAAAAUUCCAAGAGAUCUGACUAAAGUAACCCUUGAGGAAUCGUCCAGCCUUUGAGUAACCCAUGAUUAGCUAAAUCAUAAAAAGAAACGUGAAAUCAGUCAACAAAAACUCUAGAGCGCCCUCAAUGUGCAAAGCACUGUUAGGUGCUACCACCCUGGGAGAGAGAUGACCAGACUCAGGACCAGGCACUUACUGUCAAGAAGGGAGCAGAGCUGGCCCUUCCCACCAGGUCCAGCCAAGUUCAGUGCAGUCAGAACUGCAAGAUCGUGCUAUGUUCAGAGAGAGGCAGAUUGCUUCCCACUGUGAGGGUCAGAGAGACUCUGGAGGCACAAUCCAAGUCUAGCAUGGAGAAAGAAAAGGGAAGAUGGACUCAUGUUUAUUUAGCUGCUGUGUACUGUAUGUAAAUAUUUUGUUGUCAAUGUCAAAAGAGGACAUUACAGUAAACUUAAUCUAGAGAUCUUAAUUGCCUUUUAUUUGUGUCAAUCAGGCAACACUUCAUUCUAUAAAACAGACUGUUUGGAAGAGCUGAGCAGAGGAAUUUGACAUGACAGACAGAAAAGGACUGAAGAAGUAGAAACAGAACAAAGAGCACAUAGGUUGUUUCAAAGUUACUUUCCUUGUAAAGGUUAAAACAGGGGACUUAAGAUAGCUACAACUGACCCAUUUGAUGUGUUUUCCCCCACCAUCACCAUCCCCGCUGGCCACCUCCUCCCCACCACCUGAAUCUUUGGAAGGUCAGAUAAUAACUGGGUUGUGUCUUGGAGGUCAGGAACUUUAGCAUGAGUAAUUCCAUUUUGGUCUGGUCUAUUGGAACUAGUACAGGAGCUCAG